rnacentral:rRNA from 1 species
UACCCGCUGAAUUUAAGCAUAUUAUUAAGCGGAGGAAAAGAAACUAACAAGGAUUCCCCUAGUAACGGCGAGUGAACGGGGAAGAGCCCAACACCGAAUCCCUUGGCGCAAGCUAAUGGGAAAUGUGGUGUUAAGGUUGCCCUUCGUGCCAGUCUAGGCGUCUCAAGUCCACCUGAUUGUGGCUCAAGCCCAGAGAGGGUGUAAGGCCCGUAGAGACGCUCCGACUGGUUCCUGGGGUUUACCUACGAGUCGGCUUGUUUGGGAAUGCAGGCCAAAGCGGGUGGUAAACUCCAUCCAAGGCUAAAUACUGGCACGAGUCCGAUAGCGGACAAGUACCGUGAGGGAAAGUUGAAAAGAACUUUGAAGAGAGAGUUCAAUAGUACGUGAAACCGCUUAGAGGCAAACGGAUGGUGCUCAAACUGGCCCAGGGAAUUCAACCGUGUCGGCGGUUGGGCAGGCUAGCGUUGGAUCUCUCUUUUGAGACCAAUCGUUGGUCUGUUCCAGCUUCGACGCGGUGCACUUUCCCUGGUGCCUUCGCCACGACCGACGACACUGGCUACCCGCGGCUGGGGUAAGGUGACAUCCUGUUUCGGCAGUUUGUGUUAUAGACCCCGGCGUCGGACUUGUUUGGCCAGGACGUCGAGCUAGCGGCGCCCGCUCCUUGUGGGCUCGCACGUUGGUCAGCUUGGCUGUGCCGAUGCUUGUACUGGAUCAACCAGUGCUGGCGACGGUUGCGGUCUUGUCUGGCUGGCCUCUGCGAGUUUGGCGCCUAUAGUCUGUGGUGUCUUUGUGGGUAGACUAUCCGACCCGUCUUGAAACACGGACCAAGGAGUCUAACAUGUGCGCGAGUCAUGGGGAUUCUACGAAACCCAAAGGCGCAGUGAAAGUAAAGGCUUGCUUCUCGCAGGCUGAGGUGGGAUCUCGUGCAUCGCGAUUGGCGAGCGCACCACCGGCCCGUCCUAUCAGUCUCUGUCUGUGGGGCGGCGCAAGAGCGUACACGUUGGGACCCGAAAGAUGGUGAACUAUGCUUGCGCAGCUCGAAGUCAGUGGAAACACUGAUGGAGGAGCGCAGCGUUUCUGACGUGCAAAUCGAUCGUCAAACGUGAGUAUAGGGGCGAAAGACUAAUCCGAACCAUUUAAAGGGGUU